UGGUGCCUCACCUCCAUGAUGGCUGUCUUGAAUUGCCUCCUCAUCUCACAUGUGCCUUAAUAUCUCUGCUAGGUUUAGGAUGGUGCAGAGAGCCUCCACCAAGAAGAGUGUACUACAAUUGCUGCUGAGCCCUAAUAGACAGAGCGCAAUCUCCCACGGCGAUAGCAGCAUGUGCUUCACCUAAGACCAAGAUGUGUAAAGCAUGUUCCAGUGUCUUGUUUGAAGUGGAAGAUGUGGAUGCCAAAGCUGGUGCUGACCCAUACCACUGCAGCAAAUAUGUGAAGGAACACCUGAGAGACUUUGAGCAUGCAACUGAGUGCAAGUGAACACCUUUAGCUGAACCCCACCAUAAGGAAAACAAAACCACUGUCUGUUCAGGAACUAAACUUGGAAAGAUGUACAGCAAAACUGGGGCAACAGCAUUCAGGUCACUAAUGGGAGUGCUGCAUGUUGUCUGAUCCAGACCCCUGUGUGAUGCCUCCUUUUCCUUUUGAUAGUGAAGCAUUGAUAACUACUAUUAAGGGUGUUCCUCGCAACAGUGGGGAUUCUGGAGCAUUUUUGUACAUCUCAGUUGCAGAAGCAUUUUCACCAAUGUACCCUUGCUGCACCGUACUGAGAUCAAUCCAGUAACUUCACAUCUGUUGUUUCUCAUCUGCGGCUGAAUGGAUGUCAGUCACAAUGAAGACUGAAGAGGGAGAACGGCAUUAAAGCUCUCCUUGGCUCUGUACAGCUCUCUUUCAGUACACACAUGCUCUUACUUCUGUGCUCAGAACAUUCAAAAUAGUUAUCAAGGAUGUAGAAAAUUUUACUAUUGUAAUUACAGCAAAAGGCUACCUGUCAGGAAAAUAAAUGCAAGUAAUCAGACA
rnacentral:lncRNA from 1 species